rnacentral:lncRNA from 1 species
GCGUGUGACACUGGUCGGCGACGCGGCGGGGUACGUGACCAAGUGCUCCGGCGAGGGGAUCUACUUCGCGGCCAAGAGCGGGCGGAUGUGCGCGGAGGCGAUCGUGGCCGGGUCGGCGAACGGGACGCGGCUGGUGGACGAGAGCGACCUGCGCAAGUACCUGGCGGAGUUCGACCGGCUCUACUGGCCGACGUACAAGGUGCUGGACAUCCUGCAGAAGGUGUUCUACCGCUCCAACGCGGCGCGGGAGGCGUUCGUGGAGAUGUGCGCCGACGACUACGUGCAGCGGAUGACCUUCGACAGCUACCUCUACAAGCGCGUCGUGCCGGGCAACCCCAUCGAGGACAUCAAGCUCGCCGUCAACACCAUCGGCAGCCUCGUCAGGGCCACCGCGCUGCGCCGGGAGAUGGGGAAGCUCACCUUGUGAUCACCGACACACCGGAAACGUCCCUGACAUCCUGCUUGGGUUGCUCGAAGCUGCGGCGGAUCGAUCGGUAUAGCAGAGAUCCGCGGCCGAUCGAACGGAUUUGAGGCAGAGGAGAUGAGAAUAAAGAGGUAAUGGCGUCGAUCGAGAGGUCGUGUCUUGGUCGAACCUGUCCCAUUUUCUUGUACGGUGAUGUUCAGACUUCAGAACAGUUCGUCUGGAUUGUUGAAGCACGCCAAUAUUCGAUAUGUGAAUGAAUGUAGUAUAAACUAAGGUUUCAAGUUUUUUGUUCAUGUUUGUUCUCGCGAACGAGAAGUAGAAUGAAAUGGGAUAACAACAACCAGACACCACGUUGAAUUUGGAGAUAUGUUGUGGGAUAUCCGGUGAAAACAGUGUACCGUGAUUAUGAAUGUAUUUUGAUACUACAUAUGGUUGUUAUUUAAUGUGUCCUUUUUCUGUGUUGGAGCAACAUCCACUUUAGCUCGGAAGAAAUGCAACCCCGUUGCCACGUUUUUGUGGGAAGCCCUUGUUGGAGCCCGGCAAUCGCGGAACGACCGUAAGUCGUUGCAGGCCUCUGGGCUAGGGUAUGAUUCUCAGCUGGUUAGGAUUAUAUUUUGCAAAUUCAUGGUAAAAGGUGUGUGUCCAGUAAAACCAGGUACCAUGGUCCAUCUACUGCCAGGCUAGUAGUCCACGCUGAGAAGGCCUAGUGCGGCAUCUAGCCCACUGGAGGAACUCGGAAAUCACCCUGCGAGGCUCCGGUUUCGCGAGGAUCCACCUUUCUUUAAGGCCUCGUUUGGUUCAUCUUUCUUUAAGGCCUCGUUUGGUUAAGGGGGAUUGGUGAGGUUUGGAGAGGGAGUGAUUUCAGGGGAUUGGGUGAAUCCCUUUGUUCCACCCAAUCCUCUCAAAUCCCCGGGGUUUUGCUUCCACUAGUCCUCCGAGGAGGGUUUUGAAACACAUGGAUAGGAAGGGAUUGAAGGGGAACGGAGGGGAUUGGGCUAAGCAAACCGCUCCUACCAAAUGGACGCGCGAGGAUCUGUGGGUUUCUGGGCCCCCCGGGAUUUUCCUCUCAAACCCUCCCCAAUCCUCCUUAACCAAACGAGGCCUAAGGGGGACCCAUGAGACGUCUGUCCAUCAGCAGCAAGAGGAGGCUGCUUCCCGCAAGGCUGUGUGACUAAAGGGACCAUUCAAUAUUGGAGACACAACGGUGUGCAUUCCACAUGGAUGACAUGCAGUUCCAGCAGAGGAAGCAAGGAUGGGUCAGCGGACGUCGCAGGAGAAUCUUUCCCCUUUGAGGAUAAAAGGGUGGCAAGCAGUUGUCCCUCGGAAGGCGAUUUCCAAUGCUUAUCCAAUUGGUGCAAGGAGACUAAUGUGACAUCGGUCGCUAGGGCGGACGUCAUCCAGGGCCGGCUCAACGAUUUCGAAAGCCCCGGGGCGAACUUCAUCAGUGGGCCCAACCAAGAUUUUUUUCUUCGAUCGAUACACGAACAAUUACAUAUAUUAUGAAGUCAUAUAGAGUAGUUAUAUUUCCUUAGAAUCAAAUAUCUGAUAUUUUUCAUGUCUUUGUUCAAACUCAAGUAUCAUAGAAGCUACAAUGCACGAAAAGAAUAUAGAAAUAGCAUCCUAGCAAACCUCCAUUAAUCAUGAGAAGCGAGACUUCCGUGCAUUUGUUGAUGCAAAAUCAUCUAUGACAAUGUCAAGAUCAAUGAUGUCCAACAUAUUCCUCUCGAUGCAGCACAUGGCCAAACCAUUCAAUCUCUCUUGGGACAUGGUUGACCUCAAAUAAUUUUUCAGUAAUUUCAAUUCUGAGAAACUCCGUUCAGCUGAUGCAACAGUGACAGGUACGGUCAAGAGGAUACGAUAAGCAAUUGAGACAUUUGGAUAACAUUCCGCAGCUCUAACAAACUCAAAUAUCUGAUCCGCUAACAUGAGUGUGUGUGGCAAUGUCAUCUGCAAUACUUUUAGUUCAGAAACAAAAUCAUCUAAAUCAACAUCCGCGGACUUACCAUGAGUGAAAGUCUUGACAAAAUUAGUGCAGCAUCUUCUUAGAUCAUUAUCACCCAAUAGCUUCAAUUCUUUUGAGUUGAACAAGAAUCCAAAUAUACUCCCAAAUGACUUCAGUUCCUCAAAUCUAUUAGUCAAGGAAGCAAUUGCAACAUCAAUCAUCACCAGAAAAUAUUUAACUCUAAAUGAUUCCACCUCAUUUGCUUGCUCUUCUUGAUUCUGGUCAUUUUCUUCAUUGCCAAUAAUUUCAUCGAAUUGUCUUUUUCUGGUAAUACGCCGCUUUACAGGAAAUGAAGGUUGUACACCCAUGUCGAUUGCAAUAGAUCUCGCAAUAUCCAAGCUAGUAGCAAAGCCUUCAUUUCUGUACUUCUCAAAAUAAGAGAUGGCACCUUCAAUCUGUUUAAGAGUAACAUCAAUACACACGAAUUUAGACUGCAAUUUCUUACUCACCAUGUUUACAGUAAAUAAAACAUCAUGCCAGAUGACCAUGCCAAGUAUAAAUUCAAGUUUCUCAAGUGCACUAGCCAAAGAUUUUGCGUCGCUCUUAGUCUUGGCGUCAUCAGUAGAAGUUCUCUUCAUUGUUCCAAUAAAGCUUUCCUUAACUCAGGUGCUUGAUAUCUGAUAGCAUGAACACUCUUUAUUCGACUCUCCCAUCGAGUGUUACACAAAGACUUAACUGUCAUUUUCGAAACAUGAUCAAGCAAUAGCUGCCAUCGUUUAGUAGAGCUUGAAAACAAUAUGUAAAUUCUUUGCACAACACCAAAGAAAGUUAUAGCUUUACCACAAGAUUUUGCCAUAUCACUAAGAGUAAGAUUCAGGCUGUGACAAGCACACAACAUGUACAAUGCUCUUGGAUUAGUUGCAAGCAAUCUGCUCUGUACCCCUUGGUUUUUUCCCUUCAUGUUUGAACCAUUGUCAUACCCUUGUCCACGUACAUCUUGAACAUUCAAACCAACAGAUUCAAGUGAAUCCAUUAACACAUUAUAAAUUCCAAGUCCCGAUGUAUCAUCCACCUUCAAGAACUCUAGAAGAAACUCCUCUAUUUUUGUACUGCUACUUGACAUGUUGACACAUCUCACAAUUAGAGUCAUUUGUUCUUGAUGGCUCACAUCAAGGGUACAGUCUAAAAGGACAGAGAAAUACCUUGCAUCCUUAAUUAUCCUCAAGAUAUAAUCUUUAACACUGCGAGCAAGAUGGGAAAUUAACUCAUUCUGUAUAUUAUGGCCAAGAUAAUGAUGAUGGAUUUCAUUAUUCUGAAUGCGCCGAAGAUGCUCUUGCAUUACAGGAUCAAAUUCUGCCAUCAUUUCAAUUACUCCCAAAAAGUUCCCAUUGUUAUCUUGAUAUAAUUUCUCAUUUGCUCCUCGAAAAGACAAAUUAUGUUUAGCAAGAAAUUUCACAGCAACAACAAUUCUAAUUAAAACUUGUCUCCAUCGCUGCUUCUCCCUUCCAAUCUCUUCUUGCAAAACUUUAUCAAUUGUUUCCUUCUUACUUAGCCUCAACCGCACCUCAUUCCAAGUAUUCAUGUUAGUGAUAUGCUCAACACCGUUCUCAUGUAAUUUGAGCUUCUCACUAAGAUGUUUCCAAUCCAUUAAUCCCUCAGAUGCUAGCAAACUUUUGCUGUUUUCAGAUUUGAACAAUUUGCAGCAAAAACAAUAAACUUUAUUCACAUGUUUAGAGUACACUAACCACCUGCGGUCACUGGCCUCACCAUUCCUUAGUUGUCUUGAGUAGUAAGCAUAUGAAAAAUGCCUCCCUUUCUUAUCCACAUGAAACACAAGAUUGUACUCCCUUGUAGGUCCUUUUUCAAUGAGAAUGUCUCUUGAUUUAUUGUCAAGAAUAUUCCAAGUUCUAGGAUCAUAAAUAUCAAAAGAAGAACCCUACUCAUCUAUGUUUCCAUGAUCACUAAAAUUUCCGGUGUUCUCAUCGGUAUCAACAUUGGCAUCAUUUUCCUCAACUGCAUUCUCAGUCUGAUCAGGUUUUUCUUCAGCAUUGGUGAUAUAUAAUUGUCCAGAAUUAGUAGCAGUAUCAGUCCUCAACAAGAAUUUAUUCAUAGACCCCUUUAGAGAUUGAGUCAACUUGUCUACUCGUUUCUUGUUAUUUCUUUUCGGAUGACCAGAUAGGUGUUUUUAGGCAACAUGAUUACACUACGAAUGGAUGCAGCUACAAGUGAUCAGUGAUGUAAAGAAAGAAUCAGUCACCGGAUUAAGAUUUUAGACUAAGAACAUAUAACACAAGAAAAUAGAGUUUAGAGACAGAUUUUUGAUCUGAAUUCUGAAAUUACCUAUCCUGCCUGCUGAUCUUGAUUGUCUUUUCCUGCCUGAGAUUUCUUGCCGAGAUGGACACAGCGUCGGGCGGGGCAGGGAUAACAGGGACGAGACCAGGGCCCUGGACGAGACGGCGACUGCACGAGUAGAUCAGGAGGGUGAUGGGCGAGUGGAUCAGUCGAUCAGGAGGGCGACGGGCGAGACGCAGGAGACUGCACGGUUGCAACUUGCACGAAGGGCGAGUGGAUCAGGAGACGAGCGGAGGCUGCGGAGCGAUCGCUAAUAAGGAACCAAAAUACGAUUCCUUGACGGAUCAGGAGACAAGAGAUCAAGGCCUGUGAGCGAUCCCUGCCUUUGCUAGUUCCCAAGGCGUGCGUUCCCAAGGCCUGCGAGCGAUCAAGGCUUGCGCGCGAUCCCUGCCUUCCUGGGCAGCUGGGCUGGCUCCUGGUUGUAUGUAUGGGCCUUUAUACCUGCUUUAUACAUACGUAUUCUCUAUAAAAUAUGGGCCCCUAUUUCGGCCGGGCCCCGGGCCGUCGCCCCUGCUGCCCUGGGCCAGAGCCGGCCCUGACGUCAUCGGCGAGCCCACAAGCGCGUCAUGGACGACGCCUUUGACAGUGCGAAGAUCACCUUUGUCAGGAAGGCUUGCUGGCUUGUCCCUCUUCGGAUUGCCGCUCUGUGGUCGUCCUUUUCCCGCCCAUAUUUUCGGAAGAGAGGCCCAUGGCAAGGAUAAGAGGGACAGUCACCAACCGUAGAGAGGGACGAAUGAUUGAGCUCCCCCCUCCCGAAGAGAUCUUCUUCUUCCUUGUAGUUUGUAACACUUAUGGAACACAAUAGAUAAGAACACACAAAAGAGGAGUAGGAUUUUACACCGCAAGGUGACCCGAACCUGGUUAAACUCUGGUGUCCCCGUGUGUGUUGUACGUGCGUGUCUCGGUCAUAGUCAAGGCGAGGUUGUAGACGCAUCUAGCUCCCCUGUGUUCGAAUUGGGUUCUUGAGAGGUUUUCCCAUAGGACCCAAACCAAUCUUCGACAUUUGGCGCACCAAGUAGGGGAGUUGCGUGUGCAUCUUCAUCCUCUGCUUUGCUCUCCGUCGACAUGACCGAGGUGCGACGCGAGAGUUAUGCGCGCCGGGCUAAGAGGGUACACACCAAGCCCACCGUCGAUGUCGGUCGAAGCGGGCGCGCUCCCGCCGCCAUCGAGCCCGCGGCUAGGGAGGUGCAGGCCUCCUCCUCCCCCCACAUCCGUGUAGCCGCCUCCGCCACGUGCGUGCAACACUACGAAGUCCUCCCACGGCCGAAGUGACCCACCGGCUCCACAAGCUGCACUUCUCAUGGCGCAUGAGUUACUUCGCUACAACCCCACCGUGGCCGGCUAGGAUGCAUAGCUCGCGUGCAUCACCGAGCUGGUCAACACCGCUGGAGACGCUUCGACUCUCUGCCACUCCAUGCCUCCUCCGCCACUGUGUGGCGCAGUGGCAGGGCAUGGUAUGCAUCAUCCUCCACCACCGCACGACAAUGAUGAUGGUCGGUGCCCCGGUGCGCGUGCACUGGUGCCGACCCCCGGAGCGUCAUCACCACCCCAUGAUGAUCCCAGCUCCAGGAUAGUCCAACGCAUGGAGCCCGACACACACGUUCUUCUCGAGAGACGUCGCGAACGCCAGGACCGCAUCCUCCAAGAUGUCGCGGUCGUAGGCUGCUAGAAUCGCGUCGCCCUUGCCUGUGGCAUUCCCUGUGGCAGCGGUUCAUGCAAUUCCUUCACCCGUGAGCUGCGCCGCGUGGUGUGGCCCACAUCGUUCAAGCGAGAACUGCCUCCAUGCUACGAUGGCACCCCCAACCCCACGAAGUUCCUGCAGCUCUACGCCAUCGACAUCCAAGUUGUCGACUCAAUGACAAGGUCAUGGUGAGCUGGUUUCCCAUGGCUCUCAAGGAUGUGACGCGCUCAUGGCUGAAGAACCUUCCUGAAGGCCCCAUCUCUUCAUGGCACGAGUUGUGCGCACAGUUUGUCUCCAACUUAAAGGGCACGUACGCGCACCGCCUCACCCCCAACAACUUGCAUGUCGUGCGGUAGCAACCGGGCGAAACCCUUUGCAAGUACAUCCCAUGCUUCAGUCACGUGCGCAACAAGAUCCUACGUGCAUCAGAUGCUGCCAUCAUUUCUUCAUUCUCCACGGGUGUCACGGACAUCAAGACGCACGAGAUGCUCGCCAUCAACGACGAGCUCGACACCAUGGCCAUGUUGUUCGACCUCGCUGACAAGUGUGUCAAGGCUGAAGAGGGCUACCUCUUUUCCCACAACGACAUAGACGUUGUCACCAACACCGCCAUGGAUAAGAGCAAGGAUGUCAAGAGCAAAGGCCCCACCGUGCUUGAGGCAGAGCCUGAGUAGAAGCGCAAGCAUGAAUGCAAGAAAGCACCCAAGAAGCCUUUCUGCGCCCACCAGAGCAUGAAAUCCCACAACACCGAGGACUGCCACGAGCUCAGGCUGCUUCAUGAGCAGGGGCAGAACCUCUGGCCCAGUCAUGGCACAGGCCGCAGCAGUGGCAACCGCUAGGGAGACCGCAACAAUAACAACGACAAUGAUGUCAGCAACAACCGCCAAGGAUGGCAGGACCAGCCACGCCGUGCCAACCCUCGAGCCAGCGGCCUUCCUUCACGACCCGUCACCAACACUGACAACCUGUCCGAUGAGGACGUUGGGGACUACCAGGAGCCCCGUAGGAUAGCGUGCAUCCUUGGCGGAUCCGAGGCUUCCUCCUUCAACCGCCACCUCAACCACUUCUCCCACAAGGUGAAUACGGCCCUACCGGGCUCUGAGGCCUCGAUGCCCCUCAAGUGGUCUUAGUGUGCAAUCACCUUCGACUCCAUGGACCACCCCAAGUCCACGAGGGUUGUUGGCACUAUCCCCAUGAUGUGCACUCCCACCAUAAAAAACGCAUGCGUCACCAAGUGUAACGCCCAAGAUGCGAUCCUAUCCUUAAUUUGGCACGAGGGCCUCGUCAGGGAUAGAAGUGCAUCUCGUCGUUUCGCAAGAAUGGAUAUUGUUACAAGUACAUGUACUGAAGAGAAUAGUAUAUGGAAUUGGCUUACACUCGCCACAUGCUACAUCAGAGUCACAUCAGUACAAUACAUAAAUACCAUGAAGAAGAGCAGGGUCCGACUACGGACGAAAACAAACAAGAAAAGAAAAACGACGUCCAUCCUUGCUAUCCCAGGAUGCCGGCCUGGAACCCAUCCUAGAUCGAUGAUGAAGAAGAAGAAGCAACUCCAAAUGAACAAUUAACGUGCUCGCGUCAAGUAAUCUUUACCUCUACCUGCAACUGGUGUUG